rnacentral:rRNA from 1 species
UGGGGAAUAUUGGACAAUGGGGGGAACCCUGAUCCAGCCAUGCCGCGUGUGUGAAGAAGGCCUUAUGGUUGUAAAGCACUUUAAGCGAGGAGGAGGGUACUGGUAUUAAUACUACCAGGUACUGGACGUUACUCGCAGAAUAAGCACCGGCUAACUCUGUGCCAGCAGCCGCGGUAAUACAGAGGGUGCGAGCGUUAAUCGGAUUUACUGGGCGUAAAGCGUGCGUAGGCGGCUAAUUGAGUCGGAUGUGAAAUCCCCGAGCUUAACUUGGGAAUUGCAUUCGAUACUGGUUAGCUAGAGUGUGGGAGAGGAUGGUAGAAUUCCAGGUGUAGGGGUGAAAUGCGUAGAGAUCUGGAGGAAUACCGAUGGCGAAGGCAGCCAUCUGGCCUAACACUGACGCUGAGGUGCGAAAGCAUGGGGAGCAAACAGG